CGGCAUGCGCAACACGUGUUGUUUACACCUUCAGGAACAGGCGGUAUGAUGACAUCUCAUUAGUUGACACAAUCAAUAAAUAUCACACAGAAGCUUGCUUCAGUCAUAGAGGGCAGAGCGGGAACACUCGUCUUGCAACAGUUGAGCCAUGGAAAUGGAAGAGGACUGGCUGUUUGACUCUAUAAGAAAGUACAAGAGCCUGUACAUGUAUGACCUGCAGAAACCAGUCCAGGCUGCUGAUUGGCUAUCAUCUGACUGUUUGGUUGUUGCCACAUCAGACGAAAGGAAACAUGAACUCUUGGAGUUGUCUCUCCCUGCCCAGGUGUGUGUGCAGGAAGACAGUUCUGGUUUGACGAAAGACCGAGAUUUCCAGGUGGUAAAUGGUGGCUUCACAGACAGCUCUAUCAUAUCUCUACAUCAUCUGCGCCAGGCAAGGAAAGUGUUGGCGUGUGUAAGGGGAGACAACUCUGUAGAAACCUGGCAGCUUGGGUCAGAAGAUGGAAAUCUGAUCGAGAAAAUAGGUGUUUUGUGCAGCAAGAAGCCUACAUGCCACCCGUCACAGUUGUGUGAUCCGUGGAGAAUUAUAUUUAUACAGUGUUUUUGUCCCCAUGUCCAGCCACCCUGCUCAGCUCUGUGUUCUGUGAUGAAUAAUACACAGUACUUAUCUCCCUUGUCCAGCCACCCGUCACAGUUGUGUGUUCUGUGGAGAAUUAUAUUUAUACAGUGUUUUUGUCCCCAUGUCCAGCCACCCUGCUCAGCUCUGUGUUCUAUGAUGAAUAAUACACAGUACUUAUCUCCCUUGUCCAGCCACCCAUCACAGUUGUGUGUUCUGUGGAGAAUUAUAUUUAUACAGUGUUUUUGUCCCCAUGUCCAGCCACCCUGCUCAGCUCUGUGUUCUAUGAUGAAUAAUACACGGUACUUAUCUCCCUUGUCCAGCCACCCGUCACAGUUGUGUGUUCUGUGGAGAAUUAUAUUUAUACAGUGUUUUUGUCCCCAUGUCCAGCCACCCUGCUCAGCUCUGUGUUCUAUGAUGAAUAAUACACAGUACUUAUCUCCCUUGUCCAGCCACCCGUCACAGUUGUGUGUUUUGGAUGACAGCUGUCUGGUGUUUGGCUCCGAUCUGUCCAGCCUCUCUGUAGCCGACAUCAACACACAGCAAACAGUGGCCCACAUACAAGAUUGUCAGAGAGACAUUAUUAUUUCCAACAUGCUUCAACAAGACCGCUGUGUGUUGACUUCGGGUCGUACAUCAGGAGAAUUGUUCCUUCUUGAUCCUCGAUCGCACACUAUAGCAGUGGAGCAGGUGUUGGACAAGACCAGUGCACAGCAGGUGUCGGACAAGACCAGUGCACGGCAGGUGUCGGACAAGACCAGUGCACAGCAGGUGUCGGACGCCUGUCCCCGCAGAGACACAUGGACACUGUGUGAAGACAAGUCCAAGGCAGUUGUGCUGCAAAUGUGUAGUAGUGGUGUGAUGCGUGUUCGAGACUGCAGGAACUUGAAGCAUUGUGUGAAAAGUGUACAGACGAAACUCCAGGCAGUUGAGCCAGGGGAGAUAACUCUCAGUAUGGUUCAAUGAAACUACCACUGAUCGAGCAUCUUAGGGAGUUGCCCGACUAAUGCAGACUUGGUGGCAGUUACAGGUUUUGAUGGCUGUGUACAGAUAUAUGACCGAAGCAAGUGGGGAGAUGCUGAUGUUGUCACACCAGUGUUUGUUCACCAAGGCCACAUCGCUG
rnacentral:misc_RNA from 1 species